GUUGGUUGAAAAUCACCCACAGCUUUGCCCAUAGCCAUGGGUGAGAUUUGGUGCGCAGAGCCAGUGGGGUCUCAGCUCACCUGCCCACUCUCGAUAAGGAGAGGUGAAACACAGGCUCACUGUGC